rnacentral:rRNA from 1 species
CAGCCUACGGGGCGCAGCAGUGAGGAAUAUUGGUCAAUGGGCGCGAGCCUGAACCAGCCAAGUCGCGUGAGGGAUGACGGCCCUACGGGUUGUAAACCUCUUUUGUCGGGGAGCAAAUUCCGCCACGCGUGGCGGAGUCGAGAGUACCCGAAGAAAAAGCAUCGGCUAACUCCGUGCCAGCAGCCGCGGUAAUACGGAGGAUGCGAGCGUUAUCCGGAUUUAUUGGGCGUAAAGCGAGCGCAGGCGGUUUCUUAGGGCUGAUGUGAAAGCCUUCGGCUUAACCGAAGAAGUGCAUCGGAAAACGG